UCCUACGGGAGGCAGCAGUAGGGAAUCUUCCGCAAUGGACGAAAGUCUGACGGAGCAACGCCGCGUGAGUGAUGAAGGUUUUCGGAUCGUAAAACUCUGUUGUUAGGGAAGAACAAGUACGAGAGUAACUGCUCGUACCUGACGCACUGCCUAUC
rnacentral:rRNA from 1 species